rnacentral:rRNA from 1 species
GGGACACGUGGUAUCCUGUCUGAAUAUGGGGGGACCAUCCUCCAAGGCUAAAUACUCCUGACUGACCGAUAGUGAACCAGUACCGUGAGGGAAAGGCGAAAAGAACCCCGGCGAGGGGAGUGAAAAAGAACCUGAAACCGUGUACGUACAAGCAGUGGGAGCACGCUUCGGCGUGUGACUGCGUACCUUUUGUAUAAUGGGUCAGCGACUUAUAUUCUGUAGCAAGGUUAACCGAAUAGGGGAGCCGAAGGGAAACCGAGUCUUAACUGGGCGUUAAGUUGCAGGGUAUAGACCCGAAACCCGGUGAUCUAGCCAUGGGCAGGUUGAAGGUUGGGUAACACUAACUGGAGGACCGAACCGACUAAUGUUGAAAAAUUAGCGGAUGACUUGUGGCUGGGGGUGAAAGGCCAAUCAAACCGGGAGAUAGCUGGUUCUCCCCGAAAGCUAUUUAGGUAGCGCCUCGUGAAUUCAUCUCCGGGGGUAGAGCACUGUUUCGGCAAGGGGGUCAUCCCGACUUACCAACCCGAUGCAAACUGCGAAUACCGGAGAAUGUUAUCACGGGAGACACACGGCGGGUGCUAACGUCCGUCGUGAAGAGGGAAACAACCCAGACCGCCAGCUAAGGUCCCAAAGUCAUGGUUAAGUGGGAAACGAUGUGGGAAGGCCCAGACAGCCAGGAUGUUGGCUUAGAAGCAGCCAUCAUUUAAAGAAAGCGUAAUAGCUCACUGGUCGAGUCGGCCUGCGCGGAAGAUGUAACGGGGCUAAACCAUGCACCGAAGCUGCGGCAGCGACGCUGAUGCGUUGUUGGGUAGGGGAGCGUUCUGUAAGCCUGCGAAGGUGUGCUGUGAGGCAUGCUGGAGGUAUCAGAAGUGCGAAUGCUGACAUAAGUAACGAUAAAGCGGGUGAAAAGCCCGCUCGCCGGAAGACCAAGGGUUCCUGUCCAACGUUAAUCGGGGCAGGGUGAGUCGACCCCUAAGGCGAGGCCGAAAGGCGUAGUCGAUGGGAAACAGGUUAAUAUUCCUGUACUUGGUGUUACUGCGAAGGGGGGACGGAGAAGGCUAUGUUGGCCGGGCGACGGUUGUCCCGGUUUAAGCGUGUAGGCUGGUUUUCCAGGCAAAUCCGGAAAAUCAAGGCUGAGGCGUGAUGACGAGGCACUACGGUGCUGAAGCAACAAAUGCCCUGCUUCCAGGAAAAGCCUCUAAGCAUCAGGUAACAUCAAAUCGUACCCCAAACCGACACAGGUGGUCAGGUAGAGAAUACCAAGGCGCUUGAGAGAACUCGGGUGAAGGAACUAGGCAAAAUGGUGCCGUAACUUCGGGAGAAGGCACGCUGAUAUGUAGGUGAAGUCCCUUGCGGAUGGAGCUGAAAUCAGUCGAAGAUACCAGCUGGCUGCAACUGUUUAUUAAAAACACAGCACUGUGCAAACACGAAAGUGGACGUAUACGGUGUGACGCCUGCCCGGUGCCGGAAGGUUAAUUGAUGGGGUCAGCGCAAGCGAAGCUCUUGAUCGAAGCCCCGGUAAACGGCGGCCGUAACUAUAACGGUCCUAAGGUAGCGAAAUUCCUUGUCGGGUAAGUUCCGACCUGCACGAAUGGCGUAAUGAUGGCCAGGCUGUCUCCACCCGAGACUCAGUGAAAUUGAACUCGCUGUGAAGAUGCAGUGUACCCGCGGCAAGACGGAAAGACCCCGUGAACCUUUACUAUAGCUUGACACUGAACAUUGAGCCUUGAUGUGUAGGAUAGGUGGGAGGCUUUGAAGUGUGGACGCCAGUCUGCAUGGAGCCGACCUUGAAAUACCACCCUUUAAUGUUUGAUGUUCUAACGUUGACCCGUAAUCCGGGUUGCGGACAGUGUCUGGUGGGUAGUUUGACUGGGGCGGUCUCCUCCUAAAGAGUAACGGAGGAGCACGAAGGUUGGCUAAUCCUGGUCGGACAUCAGGAGGUUAGUGCAAUGGCAUAAGCCAGCUUGACUGCGAGCGUGACGGCGCGAGCAGGUGCGAAAGCAGGUCAUAGUGAUCCGGUGGUUCUGAAUGGAAGGGCCAUCGCUCAACGGAUAAAAGGUACUCCGGGGAUAACAGGCUGAUACCGCCCAAGAGUUCAUAUCGACGGCGGUGUUUGGCACCUCGAUGUCGGCUCAUCACAUCCUGGGGCUGAAGUAGGUCCCAAGGGUAUGGCUGUUCGCCAUUUAAAGUGGUACGCGAGCUGGGUUUAGAACGUCGUGAGACAGUUCGGUCCCUAUCUGCCGUGGGCGCUGGAGAACUGAGGGGGGCUGCUCCUAGUACGAGAGGACCGGAGUGGACGCAUCACUGGUGUUCGGGUUGUCAUGCCAAUGGCACUGCCCGGUAGCUAAAUGCGGAAGAGAUAAGUGCUGAAAGCAUCUAAGCACGAAACUUGCCCCGAGAUGAGUUCUCCCUGACCCUUUAAGGGUCCUGAAGGAACGUUGAAGACGACGACGUUGAUAGGCCGGGUGUGUAAGCGCAGCGAUGCGUUGAGCUAACCGGUACUAAUGAACCGUGAGGCUUAACCUUACAACGCCGAAGCUGUU